ensembl:lncRNA novel transcript
GCCAUGCACAGCUCAGGAAUACAGGUUAUUGGGGCUUGAAGCUGAGUCAUCUGCCCCUCACCUGACUUCACCCACCCCUAACUGCCAUGACAACGGGAGCCGGUCACCCCAGAGUCACCUGGAUACUUCACAACUUUACUGGUGGCCCAGGACUUGCAGGG